UUUUUACAAAUAAUUAACAGUAUAAAGGUAAGAGCAUAUAUCACAGAGGUACACUGACAUAAAUGAUAUCACAAAAUAGCGCUAACAAGCAGUCAAAAAAAGAGCAAAUGUUUCAUUCAUUUCACCUGUGCAAAGAACUAUGCAGAUACCACUUAAAAUGUUACCAGAAAGUAUCUCACAGACUCAUUCAUAUUUUGUGGCAGUCUUGAUACUUUAGUACUUUGGAGUGUCUUUGUAGUGUUUCAACCUUUAUCAUCACAGUUAAUAAUGACAACAAUAAAGCCGCCCUAAACUUUGGUAGAUCUGACCACUGGACAAUUAUGCCUGCACUGAGAAAUUCUCGGGGGCAUACUGGUUUUUGCUGUGUUUGCUAUGUCUCUUACAUGUGGCUGCCAAGGAUGGAGUCAGAGAAAUGGGGAAGGUGGAUGAGCUUCCUUGCAACAUCCACCAAUGUUAGACUGGCCUUCAGAUGUAGCCAACAUAAGGUUCAAUAGCUUUUAGACUGCUAAUAUUAAAACUAAAAUAAGUUUGGUCUAUGGAUAAUCAAAAGUGGCUUUGCAUUAUUUCCUAUGUGGAGCUGCUGUACUGAGCAUUCUUCAGCUACAGUGUAGGUUAUGGGCCAACUGACUUUAAAGUAGGAAUGAAGAGCCUUGAAAUACACAACCAUAUAUACUUCCUCUUAAAAGACCAUACAGCAAUUUAUACUUCAAGACUGAGCUGACUGAUCCUCAAAAGAAAAGAAUAAAGCUGUGACAUUUCUCAAAGUGCAUAUACUUUACAUUUUCCAGUAAUUUGAAGGCAGAUCUUUGAGAAGUACAGUGAGAGAUAAAGGAUAAACUAGAUAAAGCACAAAAAUAAAAACAAAUAAUAAAGCAAAGGCCUGAUCCUACUCCUUCUAUGGCAAACUCCCAUUGAAUUCAGCAGGACUGGAGCCACUAAUAAAUAGUAUGUCAUAAAUAUUAUAUAUACGUCAAUAUAUUUUAUGUAUACUCAUUAGAUCAAAAAUAUACAUUCAGUUUAUAUGAAAUAUAUGUAAGAAGAUGCUUAAACUAUAGGAGCACAGGACUAGGAGGAACAUAGGACCCUUAUUUACAUUCUCCACAAAAAGUCCAUAUGUUCCUAAUCUACCUGGAGACCUAAUAAAAAAAUAAGGGUUUCAUUUUGCUAGGUGUUAUGCUAACAUAGAUUUAAAAAAUUAUUCCUGUGUUGUAAAGCUUACAGUAUAGGUAAAGCAGAAGGGAGACUGUAUAAAAUAAUGGCGGUUUUUAUAAUUGAACAUCAACAUUUCAAAAAUCUUGCUUCAUUCUACCGUAUCAUGGCAUCUGAUGCACUAACCAGUAGCAACUGGGAAUAAUUCACACGUUGUAACAAUUCUGUACAUUCCAAUCCUACACUGCAUUGACAGCUAUAUUAUAGCUCUUAACAGGACAAACAAUAUUUAUGUUGCAUCUUUAUCAUAGCUAUUAACAAGAAAAACAUAAUAUUAACAAUGUAAGUUAUUUCUAAAUACCCACUCAAUGCAAACUUCCUCUUCAACUGCAUUGGCCCUUUUGUAUUUCUAACAUUAUUACAGUUACCUUAAUAUUCCACAUGUCCUGCUGGAGAUACUUCCUUCUGACAAAGAGGUACUUCUGUCCUACUUGACAGGUUGAAUGUUAAGACCCCAGAAGUCUUUAGUGUGUGUGUAGAAUUAACUGGUUUGAAGUGGACUUAGCAGAAAAUAAUUCUGCUAGCUUACUUUUCACUCCAAUAAGCUUCACUCAGGAGUGCAUCUCCAUUCAGAAAAAUUCUAGAGUAUAUUUUUAAUCUUAAGCAUAAGUUUUAAGAAAGGUCCUAAAUAUGAUAUUCUUAUAAAACAUUAUUAAAGGCAUUCCUGAAUUGGGAUCUUAAUGUUUCCACUUAUAGAUAGUGAAAGAAUGGCCAGACUAAUGUUGACAGAAAAACUGCUGUAUAAAUAGCCAUGCUGCUCUCCUCACAUUGUUUUUUGUGUUUCCUGAAAGAGCACAUCUGCAGACAGGUCUCUUAAUGGACUGUUCAGACAAUUUCCAACCUGACCUUUUGUUUGCAAUCAUCAUUUUUAAAAACAUCACAGCUGUAUAAUACCAAACUAAAAUAAAAACAGUGUGUGCUUAGGCUAGCAACAAAUGUUACCACCACAUUUGAAAUAUCAAAAGCUGUACUUUGUACUAUUUUAUGACCCUAAGAAAAAGGGGUACAUUGAUAUUCAUAAUGAAUGUGCACAUUACAGACGUUCCUUCAAAACACAUAAAAAAUACAAUCUGAACUAGGUGAACUGGAUACGAAACAUAUUCAGCUUUGAUAGUUUUUUUCAUGUCCCUGCUCAUAUAGCAUUUUUUCCAAAUAGGAACACCAGAACAGACUGCCAAUCCUUUGGACUGGGAAAUAGUGUUUACAGUAACCUGGAUCACUAUCAUCACUGAAGCACUCUGUAUUUUUAGUAACUCAUUAUAUGAUAGUGAUAUAAAAAGCAAAAUUAGAACAAACACUGGCUAGUUAGCUUCUAUGGCCC